rnacentral:rRNA from 1 species
UACGUAGGGUGCAAGCGUUGUCCGGAAUUAUUGGGCGUAAAGAGCUCGUAGGUGGUUCGGUAAGUCGGAUGUGAAAUCUCCAGGCUCAACCUGGAGGGGUCAUUCGAUACUGCCGUGACUAGAGUUCGGUAGAGGAGUGUGGAAUUCCUGGUGAAGCGGUGAAAUGCGCAGAGAUCAGGAGGAACACCCGUAGCGAAGGCGGCCCUCUGGGCCGAUACUGACACUGAGGAGCGAAAGCGUGGGGAGCGAACAGG